rnacentral:rRNA from 1 species
UGUAGCAAUACAAGGCUGAGCUAGUGGCGAACGGGUGCGUAACACGUGAGCAAUCUGCCUUAAAGUGGGGGAUAGCUCGCCGAAAGGCGAAUUAAUACCGCAUGUGGUUGUAAAACCAAAGCCGGGGCAACCUGGCGCUUGUAGAGGAGCUCGCGGCCUAUCAGCUUGUUGGUGAGGUAACGGCUCACCAAGGCUUCGACGGGUAGCUGGUCUGAGAGGACGACCAGCCACACUGGAACUGGGACACGGUCCAGACACCUACGGGUGGCAGCAGUCGAGAAUUUUUCUCAAUGGGGGAAACCCUGAAGUGAGCGACGCCGCGUGGAGGAUGAAUGCUUUCGGGUUGUAAACUCCUGUCAUUUGGGAACAAAGCCUUACGUUAACUGCGUGGAGGACUGAUAGUACCAGAAGAGGAAGAGACGGCUAACUCUGUGCCAGCAGCCGCGGUAAUACAGAGGUCUCAAGCGUUGUUCGGAUUCAUUGGGCGUAAAGGGCGCGUAGGCUGCGGGGUAAGUCGGGUGUGAAAUCUCAGAGCUCAACUCUGAAACUGCACUCGAUACUGCUCUGCUAGAGGACUGGAGAGGAGAUUGGAAUUCUCGGUGUAGCA